UUUUUUUUUGCCACCCACAGCAUGGAGAAGUUCCUGGGUCAGGGAUCAAACCUGCACUCCAGCAGUGACCUGAGCCACAAUGCCAGGUCCUUAAUCUGCUGAGCCACCAGUGAACUCUUUUUUUGCUCUUUUUUUUUUUUUUUUUUUUUUUUUUUUUUUUUUUUUGUCUUUUUAGCUAUUUCUUGGGCUGCUCCCACGGCAUAUGGAGGUUCCCAGGCUAGGGGUCGAAUCGGAGCUGGAGCCACCGGCCUAUGCCAGAGCCACAGCAACACGGGAUCCGAGCCCUCAUCUGUGACCUAUGCAAAAACUUGGCAGCAACACUGGAUACUAACCCAAUGAGUGAGGCCAGGGAUCGAACCCACAUCCUCAUGGAUGCCAGUCAGGUUCUUACCCCUUGUAGCCACAAUGGGAACUCCAGUAUUUAUUUAAAAAGUAAGCUUUCCAUUUUCAAAGAAAUAUAUUUCUUAAUAUAUAAGAUGUACAAAUAUCAAGAUGUACUAUGCAUAUGUAUAAAUAUCAAAGAGAUAUGUUAUUUUGUACACUUAUAGUCCUGAUGUAAAAGGAUUUUGAAUAGUUUCCAGACAUAUAUUUUAUAAUUUCUACCAGUUUUGAUGAAGAAGCAGCCAGUUUUAGCUUUUCCAACACUUCCUAGCUGACUGCUAGACAUGUUUGUGUCUUUUCCUGCUGCAGGAAUCACAUUAGAUGCAUAGAUUGCUUUUCAAAAUAGGAAUCUGGGUCAUGCUGAAAUCACUUUUAGAAUCAGAGCAAAAGGAAUAACAUAGGUAGUAUAUUUUCUUAUAAUGCUAUCAUUGAUUAUAUUUGGAGUUGGCUCUAUCAUCUUCUGUUAUCCUUUGUGGGUGUGUAUAUAUUAAUAUAUGUAUUUUUUGUCUUUUCAGGGCUGUACCUGCAACAUAUGGUAGUUCCCAGGCUAGGGGUCAAAUCUGAGCUGCAACUGCUGGCCUACACCACACCCACAGCAAUGCUGGAUUAAAGCCAUGUCUGUGUCCUAUACCACAGCUCAAGGCAACGCCAGAUCCCCCAGCCCACUGAGUAAGGCCAGGGAGCGAACCCAUGUCCUUGUGGAUAUAAGUUGGGUUUGUUACCAUAGAGCCACAAUGGGAACUCCUCCUUUGUAUUUUUUAAACAAUUUUUUAGUUUUCUCAUUUUUUCCCCUUAUGUUGAUUUGUUAGUCUUGCCUCUUUUUCUGUCAUUUCGUGGUUGUCCUAGGAAACAACAACAUACUUAGCAGUGUAUCUAUACCUGGAGGGAGUCUGUGACAUUAUAUUGCUCCUGAGCAACAGAGGCCUGCAGGUCACUUAGACUGCUUACCCCUGCCCCCACCAGAAUUUCCCUCAGUGUGAGUCUGCUGAUGAAGAGCUCUGUUUUUGUUUGAAAAUAUCUUCAUUUUACUUUGAUUCUUUAAUUACUGUAUCUUUUCUCCAGGUUUAGAAUUCUAGGUUGCUGGUAAUUUUAGCCCAUGAAGCUGUCAUCUCACUAUUUUCUGGCCUUUACUGACUGUUGUGAAGUCAGCAGUGGGCUGUCACACCUAAAAAGGUAAUUAAUGCUUUUUUGUUUUUUCCUCUGAUGCUUGUAAGAUUAUCUCUGUCUUUAGUUUUCAGCAGUUCACUAUGUCUAGGGCUGGGCUUAAUUUUAUUUACACUCUGUAGAAUUUGUUGGGAUUCUUGCAUCUGUGGACUACUGUCUUUACCCAUUCUAGAAAAUUCUCAGUCAUUCCCUCUUCAAGUAAU
rnacentral:lncRNA from 1 species